CGAACGUUAGCGGCGGGCUUAACACAUGCAAGUCGAACGCGAACGGCUGUGCUUGCACAGCUUAUUAGAGUGGCGCACGGGUGAGUAACACGUAGGUAAUCUAUCCCUUGGUUCGGAACAACCAUUAGAAAUGAUGGCUAAUACCAAGUAAGCUUGAGACGGCUCCGGCUGUUUCGAGGAUAGCUGAGAAGCGACGAGGGAGGAGCCUGCGCUCCAUCCGUUUGUUUGGUGAGGUAACGGCUCACCAAGACUGCGACGGAUAGCUGGUCUGAGAGGAUGAUCAGCCACACUGGGACUGAGACACGGCCCAGACUCCUACGGGAGGCAGCAGUGGGGAAUAUUGGACAAUGGGCGGAAGCCUGAUCCAGCCACGCCGCGUGCAGGAAGAAGGUCUUCGGAUCGUAAACUGCUGUUGAGAGGGAAGAAAGGCUCCCGAAGAGGGAGAGAUGACGGUACCUCUUUAGAAAGCACCGGCUAACUCC
rnacentral:rRNA from 1 species